CGUUUUGCAUUAGCAUAAAUAGCGGUGAGAGUCAGCACGCGAACUGACAGUUGAUAAUAGACUGGGCUUGUGGGUUUUAACAGUUAUUUCUCUACGAAACGUUGACUAUUUCCGGUGUUAUUUAUUUGUUAAGAAUAUUGUUAAUACAGAAGUUUUAAUCAUGUCAGGACGAGUUAUCGGUGUUGCAGUUGAUGGAAGUGAGCAAAGUAAAAAUGCAUUGAAUUGGUGUAUUGAUAAUCUGUAUCGUGCAGGUGAUAGUAUUGUACUUAUUCACGUAGCCGAAUUCAACCUGAGUGUUGGUGUAUUGCCAAAUGUAGAUGCUAUAAGUAAAGUAGUAAAAGAACAAGAAGACAAAGUAUCAACACUCACUGGAGGACUAACAGAAAUGUUAAAGAAAAAGGGGAUUCCAGGUAAAGUUGUUCGUGAAACUGGCAAACCUGGAGAAGCUAUCAUUUCCGUGGCGCAAAAGGAAAAUGUCACGUCGUUGGUGAUGGGAACACGGGGCUUAGGAACAUUCAAACGUACGCUUUUAGGUAGCGUUAGUGAUUUUGUUCUACACAAUUCUAAUAUUCCAGUUACUAUUGUGCCUACUUCUUAACUACAUUACAUCGAUAAAUAACAAAUUUAUUUUAUCGCCGCCACACACUCACCGUAGAAUAUCAGUCUCUUAAUAAUUCUCAGAUGUAAUGACAAAAAUAUACUUUCAAUCAAAACAAAACCUAUGUUCAAAAUUCUCCAAUUUCAUUGUCUUAGAAAAUAUAUUUGAAUAAAAUUAGAAUGAAUACUUAAAUUCAUUCAUUAACUAACUGUCAGUACUAUAACCUGUGAGAUUUUGCAUUCUCUCAAUUAUUAUUACUUUUAACGUAACUGUCAUAUAUAGGAUACUAGACAAAAUAAAUUGUAAUGAUAAAGGCAUAAUUUGUUAAAAGCUAUUACUUUAUUCCGCAUUUGUAUGUUAUAAUGCAUUUAUUUGAUUUAUGUUUAUAAAAAAUUUCAAGAAUAUUUAUUGAAUACGCCUGUAAUUUGACAUAGCCUUAACAAUACUCUUUUAUUCGUUUUGGUAUAUUGUAUUUGCUUGAUAUCUAAUUUAUUAAUUUGCUGAAGCAUUCCAUACUCAAAUUCAAAAGUGUUGUGUGUUAAACUAGUAUUAAAUUUACAUUGGUGACAGUUAUUGGAUCAUUUUUUGAUACUCCGCAUGUAUUUGUUUUCUAAUAUAGUUUAUACUUGCCUGUUUCUGCCGUUAAAUUAUAAUUAAAUUAGGUCUUUUAUUUCGUUCCUUUUUCUGUCAUUUUCGCUACCAUUUUUCAAAUACAAUAGUAAGCGUAUGAAAUUAAUAAAAAAAAACGAAACGAAAUAAAGAUCUAAUUUUAUUAACUGUAACAUAACAGCUGGGUGUCAUCGGUCUUUUUCGCAAUUUUGAGAUACGGAAUCCACACCAAUGAUGCGAUUCGUUUCUGACCCCAAGGGCAGGUAAUUGACAGAUUCUCUUAAUUUUGUUUGAGAUUUUAAAUGUUAUUAUCUACCAUUAAAUGUAUUUCAGCGACAUUGUUUCUAUAUUAUCAGGUUUUUUAUUUUGGUGGCGUAUAAAUAAUAAGGUUAAUAGUUUUAUAUAAAUAUCCUGUUAAUAAUUAUUAUUAUCGAUUUUUAGUGCAAAUAAAAUCAUUUUCGAAUAACAA